rnacentral:rRNA from 1 species
GUACACUCCUGCGGGAGGCAGCAGUGGGGAAUUUUGGACAAUGGGGGCAACCCUGAUCCAGCAAUGCCGCGUGAGUGAAGAAGGCCUUCGGGUUGUAAAGCUCUUUUGUCAGGGAAGAAACGGUAGUAGCGAAUAACUAUUACUAAUGACGGUACCUGAAGAAUAAGCACCGGCUAACUACGUGCCAGCAGCCGCGGUAAUACGUAGGGUGCAAGCGUUAAUCGGAAUUACUGGGCGUAAAGCGUGCGCAGGCGGUUGUGUAAGUCAGAUGUGAAAUCCCCGGGCUCAACCUGGGAAUUGCAUUUGAGACUGCACGGCUAGAGUGUGUCAGAGGGGGGUAGAAUUCCACGUGUAGCAGUGAAAUGCGUAGAUAUGUGGAGGAAUACCGAUGGCGAAGGCAGCCCCCUGGGAUAACACUGACGCUCAUGCACGAAAGCGUGGGGAGCAAACAGGAUUAGAAACCCCUGUAGUCC